rnacentral:rRNA from 1 species
AUGAAAAUCAGUGUUGAUGCAGGCUUAUCUGACACAGGUACAACAGCAGCAGCAGCAGUAUGUCGGGAUAGUACAGGCUUGUACUUGGGCUCUUCGGCGCUGGCAUUUUCAGGAAUUACUGAUCCUGGAGUGGUUGAAGCCUUAGCUUGCCGCGAAGCACUUGCUUUAGCAGAAGACCUCUCGCUUCAGAACUUUGUGGUGGCAAGUGACUGCAAAACAGUAAUUGAUGACAUACAAAGAGGAGAGGGUGGAGCUUAUAUGACAGUCAUCAAGGAGAUCUCCAUGCGAAGAUCCUCUUUUAGUUCAUGUGUUUUUACUUUCGAAGGUAGAGCAUCGAACAUUGAUGCACACAAUCUUGCCAAACAUUCUUUGAUAUUUGAUCAGGGCCGCCACUUGUGGCUAAUUCACCCCCAUGACCCUUCAUGUAUCCCGCUUCAUACUUCAACCAGAUGA